UACUAAAAGAAAACAAAGAAGCUUCCUCCUGUCUGGAAAUAUGAAUCUACAACUGCCAGCACUCUUGUUGCUUAAGCAGCAUUUGGGGUCGUGCAAUUUCUGGCUCAUCUGUGUCGGGUGUGGAUGCUUCGAUGGAGAUUAGAUUGUGUUUUCAUGUUCUAGUGGAGAUAUAAGACUUUUAUUUAUAGCUGUUAAAAAUUUUAUUUUGUUUGAAAGGAGAGUUGGGUACUUGUUAGCCUUUUGAUUCUAGUUGCUUUCAUUUUUGUCCAUUGGUGCCGUAUGUGACAUUUGAAGCAAGAAACCAUUACAAGUUAUGAAACCUAAA